AACGAACGCUGGCGGCAUGCCUAACACAUGCAAGUCGAACGAAGGCUUCGGCCUUAGUGGCGCACGGGUGAGUAACGCGUGGGAAACUGCCUAUUGGUGGGGAAUAACGACGGGAAACUGUCGCUAAUACCGCAUAAGACCUUCGGGGGAAAGAUUUAUCGCCGAUAGAUGUGCCCGCGUCCGAUUAGCUAGUUGGUGAGGUAAUGGCUCACCAAGGCGACGAUCGGUAGCUGGUCUGAGAGGAUGAUCGGCCACACUGGGACUGAGACACGGCCCAGACUCCUACGGGAGGCAGCAGUGGGGAAUAUUGGACAAUGGGCGAAAGCCUGAUCCAGCAAUGCCGCGUGGGUGAUGAAGGCCUUAGGGUUGUAAAGCUCUUUCGGGUGGGACGAUGAUGACGGUACCACCAGAAGAAGCCCCGGCUAACUUCGUGCCAGCCGCCGCCGUAA
rnacentral:rRNA from 1 species